AACAAUUCGAACGGCCAGACGGAUUGGCAGACAGACGAGUGAACAGAUAAACGGACAAACAGACACAUAGACAUGAUGAUGGAAUAAACCAAUGGAAAGAGGAAGGGAUCGAGAAACGGAAGAAUGAGGAGAACCACUUUGACCUUAUUCCCUCUCUUCAUUCAGCUUCUCAAGAAAAAGACGAUCUCCUACAGAGCCUCGGUACCAGGCCCUCAGGGUCACACGCGUCGCUUGCUGACGCUGUCUACAAGUGGACCGUGCUUCACACGGGCUACUGCUUGCUGAACUGCGGGCUCACGCAGGAAGCUUUGCAGCACUGUGAACAAGUCCUUGCUGCAUAUAGCGAUGUUCCUCAGCUAUCAACCGAUGUUCACUUCCUCAAGGCUCAAGUAUUACUGCAGAUGGGGGACUCGCUGGAGACUGGGCUAAACUCGCUCCAGGCCUCCGUGCUGUCGAGUACACACCACUCUGCGCAUGCGUGGCAGCUCGUCGCACAAGUUCAGAGCAAACUGGGCGCACCCAUGGCGGCUGAGCUGUGCUAUCGCCAAUGUCUCCAGGCAGGAUCUGGCAAAAGAUCAACAAGUUGGCGCCUAGUCCCCCUUAUUCGACUGGCUCUCCUCGCUCUGCAACAAAUCCAGG